UCUCUGCUGGUUUCUUUCAUGAAUUGGAUACCGUCCUCAGCUUUUGAUUUGUUUUGCAGUAUGUUCUCUGGCCCCUGUACAACAGUACCUUUGGAUAGCUAUCAUUACAGAUACCAGCUCUUAGGUUUGUCUCUACUUACUGAUUCAACAAACGUUUGAUCAGGAAGUAACCGAAUAAUAUACUUCACUGUAGUCUGUCUCGAUGCCUCAAGUAAUAUAUGAUAAAGUGGUUGAAGUGAAAGAAAGGGUUUGUUUGGUGAGAAGUGACUGUCACAUGAACCUGCAGUGCACUGUAGUUACCGGGUCUACUGGAGAAAAAGUACAUGUGUGGGAAGAUAUAUAGAUAAGGACCAGUUAGUAAAGGACUUACAAUAUCUGCUAGAGGAGGGGAUUAAUAAGUACAUGUACCAGAAAAUGUAAUUUAUGAAAAUAUGGUGGCAUGUUUUCUGUUAAAGAAUGAAUCAAUAUGUAAA